AAUAUGCUCAAAGACUUAGAAUUGGCUUGUGUAUCCCACAAAAAAGGUUCUCUGUCAAGUACAGCAAGACGCAUGUGCUGACCUUGUUGCCAGUAAAGAUGGUCUUCACGGAGGCUAUAAAACCCUCUGUCCUUGAUAUAGAAAUCCUUCUACUUCACUGCCUCUUCAAUGACAACACCCCAUCCAUUGAUUGUGAUGAGGACCCUUUUUAGCAGUGACGGAGUAACGCGCUUGGCCCUAACCGCUGCUCCAUAAUUGCUGGCUGUCAACCUCCCUCUCAUGGUGUGCCAGUUGGGGUUGAUGCACUGUCCAACUGUUGCCUGCCGCAUAGCCUCCUGCUGCUCCACUGACAGCACCAUGCCAACCAGGAUGUCUGCAUGCCYCAGGUGCCCUUGUUUUUUUAAACAAUGUCCGGUACUGACGGAGGAUAGCGUUUUUGUUCUGGCGCAGGUUCAAGGAGACACGCCAUUCCACUGAACCUGCCCCSGAGAUGGUUUCUUAGCCACUGAAGAUCCUCCUCAGUGGGCUCUCGGGACAGAGGGCUGUGUACAGGGCCUCKACUGACUGCACCUGGUUGGGCACAGCUGGCUUCCUCCACUUGCAUUCCACAUCUGCAAGGUCAACAUUGUGAACUGCCAAGAUAAGCUGCAUGGCUACACUUACAAGCUCCACRGAGUCAUUCACAUGUGGUAGAGGGAAUCCCCUGGUCACCUAUAACAUCCUGCCUCUUGGCAGGUCUCUAAGUGCCACAUGCCUUUCAAUGCAAGAAAUGUGCUAUAUACUGUGAAUAGUUAGCUUUAUGACAUUGCAUCUGUAGAAUACUUAAGCUGUCAUUUUCACAAGUGCAGUUUUMCAUAAACUUWUAAUUGAUAACUUGGGAUUUUACCACUUGACAUAUCAAUCAUAUAUUGGGAAGGAUCCUAUACAUCAAGACUGAAUGCAUGUACCACUCUGAAUAAAUACUGUGCCUUUCAA